rnacentral:tRNA from 1 species
UGGAGUGUGGCUCAAUGGUAGAGUGUUCUCCUAGCAUGUGCGAGGCCCUGGGUUUAAUCCUCAGCACCACAU